rnacentral:rRNA from 1 species
CUAGGUGUAGGCGGUAUUCCACGCCGUCUGUGCCGCAGCUAACGCAUUAAGCACCCCGCCUGGGGAGUACGGCCGCAAGGCUAAAACUCAAAGGAAUUGACGGGGGCCCGCACAAGCAGCGGAGCAUGUGGCUUAAUUCGACGCAACGCGAAGAACCUUACCAAGGCUUGACAUACACCGAAAACUCGUAGAGAUGCGGGGUCCGCAAGGGCGGUGUACAGGUGGUGCAUGGUUGUCGUCAGCUCGUGUCGUGAGAUGUUGGGUUAAGUCCCGCAACGAGCGCAACCCUCGUUCUAUGUUGCCAGCACGUCAUGGUGGGGACUCAUAGGAGACUGCCGGGGUCAACUCGGAGGAAGGUGGGGACGACGUCAAAUCAUCAUGCCCCUUAUGUCUUGGGCUGCACACAUGCUACAAUGGCCGGUACAAAGGGCUGCUAAACCGCGAGGUGGAGCGAAUCCCAAAAAGCCGGUCUCAGUUCGGAUUGGGGUCUGCAACUCGACCCCAUGAAGUCGGAGUUGCUAGUAAUCGCAGAUCAGCAACGCUGCGGUGAAUACGUUCCCGGGCCUUGUACACACCGCCCGUCACGUCACGAAAGUCGGUAACACCCGAAGCCAGUGGCCCAACUCGCAAGAGAGGGAGCUGUCGAAGGUGGGGCUG